rnacentral:rRNA from 1 species
GACGAACGCUGGCGGCGUGCUUAACACAUGCAAGUCGAACGCUGAAGCCCUGUCUUUUGUUGGGUUGGAUGAGUGGCGAACGGGUGAGUAACACGUGAGUAACCUGCCCUCUUCUUUGGGAUAACGCCCGGAAACGGGUGCUAAUACUGGAUAUUCACUGAUCUUCGCAUGGGGGUUGGUGGAAAGGUUUGUUCUGGUGGGGGAUGGGCUCGCGGCCUAUCAGCUUGUUGGUGGGGUGAUGGCCUACCAAGGCUUUGACGGGUAGCCGGCCUGAGAGGGUGACCGGGCACAUUAGGACUGAGAGACGGACCAGACUCCUACGGGAGGCAGCAGUGGGGAAUAUUGCACAAUGGGCGAAAGCCGGAUGCAGCGACGCCGCGUGAGGGAGGGAGGCCUUCGGGUUGUAAACCUCUUUCGCUCAUGGUCAAGCCGCAACUGUGGGUUGUGGUGAGGGUAGUGGGUAAAGAAGCGCCGGCUAACUACGUG